rnacentral:rRNA from 1 species
AAGAACAAGAAGUUUUAAUGGAUUUACCUUUUGUAUCAGGGAAGUUUAAAAGUUUAAGCAUUGUUAGACCGAAUUAAGUAGAGCUUUGUUGAGGGGGUUUAGUUGAAUUUAAGGCCGGCAGCAGCUAUGUGGUGAAAAUUGUGCGGUGCUUAUGUUAGCUGUUUGUUUUUAUUUGUGGAGGGUAAGCUUCCAUAGAUUUAGAUUGUUAAAAUUAAUACAGGGAUUAGGCCUUAUAUUAGCCGUAUUGUUAAAUUGUUUAAAAUAACUUUGUUGUGUGCAUAAAUAGUUAAAGUUUACAGACUAACUAUAUAAGUAAUAAUAGCGUUAAAUAAUGAAUUUAUUGAAUAUUGAAUGAAACGCUAAAAUAACUCGUGUUAGGUUAGAAUGUUUAGCAAAAACAUUUCUCUUAGGGUAGUAAAAGGUAAGACCUGCCCGGUGAAUAUUUAACGGCUGCGGUAUUUUGACUGUGCUAAGGUAGCAUAAUCAUUUGUUUUUUAAUUGAUAACUUGAAUGAACGGUUAAACUAGCUUAUUUAGUUUGUAGAGUUUAGUAAGAAAUUAAAGUCAUGGUAAGAAUUCUUUGAUUAGUUAGGGGACGAUAAGACCCUAGAAGCUUAAAGAUUAGUAUAUUUGUUUGUGUUUAAAAAUAGGUUAUUUUACUGGGGCGGUAGACAUAUAUAAACUAUUGUAUUAUAGUAGGAUCCUUAAAAUAAAGAAAGAGCGGUAAAGUUACUCUAGGGAUAACAGUGCAAUAUUUUUGGAGAGAUCUUAUCGAUAAAUAUGUUUGCAACCUCGAUGUUGAAUUAAAAUGUCUACAUGAAGCAGUAGGUAUGUUAGAAGGUUUGUUCAACCUU